GGAUUGUAGUCUGCAACUCGACUACAUGAAGCUGGAAUCGCUAGUAAUCGCGAAUCAGAAUGUCGCGGUGAAUACGUUCCCGGGUCUUGUACACACCGCCCGUCACACCAUGGGAGUCAGUAACGCCCGAAGCCGGUGACCCAACCAAACGGAGGGAGCCGUCGAAGGUGGGACCGAUAACUGGGGUGAAGUCGUAACAAGGUAAC
rnacentral:rRNA from 1 species